rnacentral:rRNA from 1 species
AUGCUACUAGAGAAUCCACAGACCACACACCUGAACACACACACAAAAAAGCUGCCUUUGAUGGCCACCAAGGCCCCGAGCUGCUCCACCCGCUUCAGAUCUCCGGCCAGCGCCGUUUGGUUCCUGCCGGCCGCCGUCUUCAUCCUCCUGCUCCUCCUUCUGCGCCGCCCGACCAUGGACCCCUAUGCUCCCGCUUCUCCUCGUGGUCCCGUGUCUUCCCGGCGCGCCGAUCUGUACGGCAGGAUGGCUCGGGACCUUGAUGAGCGCGGCGCGGCGUUCUUGAAGGGCGGCGAGACGUCGCAGUCCCUCACGCUCUCGGACCUCUUCGACGUCAGGGACGGCGCCGUCGUGCCCAAGCUCAAGGCCGCCGACCCGCCGGUGCGUGCAAACGUGCUCUACCUGGAGCCGGUGUUCGCCGCCGAGAUAGCGAAGGCUGUGAAGGAAGUAUUUCUUCCUUAUUUUGAUAAAGCUAUCUGGUUCCAAAAUUUGAGCAUGUAUCACUUCAGUAUGUUUCAUGCCUCCCAUCAUCUGGAGCCAAUCUUAGCAACCAAGGAUGAGAUUGAAGCCGAAGUCGAUGCUGUAAAAGGAGUUACUGAGGCUGUUUGUCCCCUUAAAAUUUCCUUGGAUCGAGUGGUUUUGACGUCAACUGGAGUUCUUCUUGGCCUGUGGCAGGUUGAAUCUGGUACUGAUCCUGCCGACAUCCGCUCAAAAUUGAGAGAAGCUCUACCUCGAGCACCCCAAAAGCAGUUGUAUGAUCCUGUUCUCCUCCACACAUCCUUUGCGCGAAUUCUGGGACCUCCUAAGCUCCCACAACAGGAGGACACAUCAUCUUUCAGUCACAUCAAAUUCUUCCAUGACCUCGUUGCACAGGUUAAUGGGAAAAUCCGUGGCUUCCAGGCAAAGGUAUCAGAGCUGUGGUAUGUAGAGGAGUACGAUGUGCUAGCCCUAGCACUGAAUGGAAAGAUGAGAGUGCGGAGGCUCCACCUUGGCUGCAAUGAGGGCCAAGAUAACUGA